rnacentral:rRNA from 1 species
UAGGGAGCGAAGCAAUUGGAAGUGGUUCCAAGAAAAGCCUCUAAGCUUCAGUCUAACGAUGACCGUACCGCAAACCGACACAGGUGGGCGAGAUGAGUAUUCUAAGGCGCUUGAGAGAACUCGGGAGAAGGAACUCGGCAAAUUGGUACCGUAACUUCGGGAUAAGGUACGCCCUUGUAGCUUGACUGGCCUGCGCCAGGAGGGUGAAGGGGUUGCAAUAAACUGGUGGCUGCGACUGUUUAAUAAAAACACAGCACUCUGCAAACACGAAAGUGGACGUAUAGGGUGUGACGCCUGCCCGGUGCCGGAAGAUUAAAUGAUGGGGUGCAAGCUCUUGAUUGAAGUCCCGGUAAACGGCGGCCGUAACUAUAACGGUCCUAAGGUAGCGAAAUUCCUUGUCGGGUAAGUUCCGACCUGCACGAAUGGCGUAACGAUGGCCACACUGUCUCCUCCCGAGACUCAGCGAAGUUGAAGUGUUUGUGAUGAUGCAAUCUACCCGCGGCUAGACGGAAAGACCCCAUGAACCUUUACUGUAGCUUUGCAUUGGACUUUGAACCGAUCUGUGUAGGAUAGGUGGGAGGCUAUGAAACCGGAACGCUAGUUUCGGUGGAGCCGUCCUUGAAAUACCACCCUGGUUUGUUUGAGGUUCUAACCUUGGCCCGUGAUCCGGGUCGGGGACAGUGCAUGGUAGGCAGUUUGACUGGGGCGGUCUCCUCCCAAAGCGUAACGGAGGAGUACGAAGGUACGCUAGGUACGGUCGGAAAUCGUGCUGAUAGUGCAAUGGCAUAAGCGUGCUUAACUGCGAGACCGACAAGUCGAGCAGGUGCGAAAGCAGGUCAUAGUGAUCCGGUGGUUCUGUAUGGAAGGGCCAUCGCUCAACGGAUAAAAGGUACUCUGGGGAUAACAGGCUGAUACCGCCCAAGAGUUCAUAUCGACGGCGGUGUUUGGCACCUCGAUGUCGGCUCAUCUCAUCCUGGGGCUGUAGCCGGUCCCAAGGGUAUGGCUGUUCGCCAUUUAAAGAGGUACGUGAGCUGGGUUUAAAACGUCGUGAGACAGUUUGGUCCCUAUCUGCCGUGGGCGUUGGAUAUUUGAAGGGGGCUGCUCCUAGUACGAGAGGACCGGAGUGGACGAACCUCUGGUGUACCGGUUGUCACGCCAGUGGCAUCGCCGGGUAGCUAUGUUCGGAAGAGAUAACCGCUGAAAGCAUCUAAGCGGGAAACUCGCCUUAAGAUGAGAUAUCCCUGGGGACUAGAUCCCCUUGAAGGGUCGUUCGAGACCAGGACGUUGAUAGGUCGGGUGUGUAAGCGCAGUAAUGCGUUCAGCUAACCGAUACUAAUUGCCCGUAAGGCUUGAUCCUAUAACA